rnacentral:rRNA from 1 species
AUUGAACGCUGGCGGCAGGCCUAACACAUGCAAGUCGAACGAGUGGCGGACGGGUGAGUAAUGUCUGGGAAACUGCCCGAUGGAGGGGGAUAACUACUGGAAACGGUAGCUAAUACCGCAUACGAUAGGAUGUGCCCAGAUGGGAUUAGCUUGUAGGUGGGGUAACGGCUCACCUAGGCGACGAUCCCUAGCUGUUCUGAGCGGAUGACCCGCCACACUGGAACUGGGACACGGUCCAGAGUCCUCCGGGAGGCAGCAGUGGGGAAUAUUGCCCAAUGGGCGCCAGCCUGAUGCAGCCAUGCCGCGUGGAUGAAGAAGGCCUUCGGGUUGUAAAGUACUUUCAGCGGGGAGGCGUUACCCGCAGAAGAAGCACCGGCUAACUCCGUGCCAGCAGCCGCGGUAAUAC